UUUGAAAUAUUUCUACAUUAUGGAAUAGCUAAAUAAAGCUAACACAUGCACCUUUCAGCUUUUCAAUCACUAACGUCUUAUCUAUUUGUCAAAGGCCGACGAAAAUUUCGUGAGAUUAAAGCUUUUCCUUAGCCUUGCACUCAUUUUAAAUGUUGGGAAACAACAAAACAGUCUCGACCAGCCUCCCCCAAACUAUACCACACUCUUGUCUAGUAACCCCACGCAACCAGGAAACGCGGCGUCACAGGCAAGUGCCCCCUUCCGGAAGAAUUCGGGCCUUCAACCCGGAAGUGAAGAGCGAAGGCGCGCAGUAUUCUGGGAAGAGUUACGCUGGCGAGUUUGAGGUUGUUAGCUGUUACCGGGGCAACCGGAGGCGAUUGACAGUUAUCUGCGGUUUGGAGCCGUUAGCGAGAGAGGCUGAGAUGCUCAGAGAUCUUUUGCGAUGAGCGACAGGGUCAUGAGAACCCUCUUAAAAGAAGACUGUUCUACCAGGAGGUUAUCCGUGGUUCCCCGCAGUAGAACUGCCGGACCUGGGCAUCUGGUCGCGCCCUCUUGUUUUUGUUUGAGUCAGUCUUUUAGAGUAAAUGAAGUGUGGCCCAGUAGCUCCUCACUGUCUCUUCUCUAGUUUUCUGCCUCCUUUUCGAAAAUUGAAUUGAAAAGACAGAGAUGAAGAUGAAGUGGAUGUGGCACGUGGAGACAAUUCUUUCAAGAAGUUUGGCUGUAAAGGAAAAAAGAGGAGCUAUAGCAGCCAACAUGGAAUCAUGACAGAAGCCAGCCCCAGAGGAAAAGCCAACCUGCUGAGAAUGGCAGAGCAGAAAGAUGGGAGGAACCUGGGUCCUUAAUGAGCUAUGCUCUGCAACGACGUGGUGGAGAAGCCUGGAGGAGGCAAGCACCAGCCCCCCACCAUGCAGUCAGUCUGACUGCCACCCCAGCAGGCUGCCAAGGGAAUACUGUGCCCCAAGGAUAACCACUCAAACCUAUACCCACGCACCCCUGGUUCCUGUCACUGUCUCAGAGAUUGGUGCUGUGUUGUGUUUCCUGCAAAAUGUCUUUGUUUUAGUAAUUAUUUUCAUCAUGUAAGAAAAAAUUUUUCACUUUUGGAAACUCUGGCACCAAGAAACAAGGAAAAGCUAAACCUAGGGCAUGUGAAACUAAACAUCAUCAAGAGAUACAUCAAGGACAAGCCAGCAGACAGCAGACGUUUCUUGGAUCUGACUGAAUGCACACUGCAAAUCCCAAAACCUCAAGACUGUUGAGUGAACAGAGUGGACACAUGCCUGAACCCCCACGUUGUUCUCACCCUCCUCCGAAUCCCACGCAGGAAGAGGCCCAUCUGGCAAUGGGUGAUAUUGUAGGAUGAGCCACCAGGCAUGGCUCUUCUUUACGGGAGUCAAGCAACUCACCAUGUCUUCCUCUUCCGCCUCCUAGAAACCCACCUACCCGGCUGGCUGUCAAGGAAGGGCCCCCGCGCCAUCGUCCUGUGGAGGCUGGAGGAAGCUGCCCCACCAACCCCAGAACUGCAUCUGGCCAGCUCUGCCCGCAUUGCCACGCCUCUACAUUCUUCCCCGUGCUCCUCCUCUCUUACCCCUUCCCCCUCCUUGCCUCGGCCACCACCCCAGUCACCCACUAGUACUUCAACAAGCCCAUCUGGGUCCUCUCCAACCCCGGCCUGAUGGAGGCUGCAUGACACAAUGGAAAAAGCACGGGCUUUGCAUUAAAAAAUAAAUCUGACUUUGGGCUCUGCGUUAA